GGCUGUGACGAUCGAUGCUUAUAUUCUGACACCUCUUGUAUGAGAACAGUCUCGAAAGAUGCUGUUCGUUGAGCACAUUAAGCAACUCUCUGAGCC